rnacentral:rRNA from 1 species
AUUGAACGCUGGCGGCAGGCCUAACACAUGCAAGUCGAACGGUAGCACAGAGGAGCUUGCUCCUUGGGUGACGAGUGGCGGACGGGUGAGUAAUGUCUGGGAAACUGCCCGAUGGAGGGGGAUAACUACUGGAAACGGUAGCUAAUACCGCAUAACGUCUUCGGACCAAAGUGGGGGACCUUCGGGCCUCACACCAUCGGAUGUGCCCAGAUGGGAUUAGCUAGUAGGUGGGGUAAUGGCUCACCUAGGCGACGCUCCCUAGCUGGGCUGAGAGGAUGACCAGCCACACUAGAACUGAGACACGGUCCAGACUCCUACGGGAGGCAGCAGUGGGGAAUAUUGCACAAUGGGCGCAAGCCUGAUGCAGCCAUGCCGCGUGUAUGAAGAAGGCCUUCGGGUUGUAAAGUACUUUCAGUGGGGAGGAAGGCGUUAAGGUUAAUAACCUUGGCGAUUGACGUUACCCGCAGAAGAAGCACUGGCUAACUCCGUGCCAGCCGCCGCGGUAA